rnacentral:lncRNA from 1 species
GGAUGUGGAAGGGCUCGAGUGCCUUGGGCCUUGCCUUUCUUUUGUUGCUCUAGCCUAGCCUCCUCAAUGGGUUGUUUUUCUUCGGAUCAGUCCUCUUUGGUUGGAGAAAUGCCCCUUUUUGCCUUGGGUAGGCUAUUCUUGUUGAGUGCCUCUGCGCUAGUGGAAUGGGUCAACAUAGAAAUAUUUUUAAGAGGUCCCCCUUGUUGCAUGGUGCAGGUGGGGGUGGUCCAAAAACUUACGCUAGACCCUUGUAUCUUGAUGAUGACACAAAGCCUUGAGAUAAGAUCGCUAUUUGCAGAUGCUGCCUCUUGGUUGAAGAUGAUGGUUUUGUAAGUAAGGACUUGUCUUUUUCUUAUGUGUUAGGGGAUGGAACUUCCCUUCUUUUUUCAAAGACGAGGGUGCAUCGAUGGUGAUGGCCAAUAGCUUAGUUCUGUGGAGGGAGCAGGAUGAGGGGUUUUUAGUAGAUGGUAAGGCAAUGUUUGUGGGCCUUUUGUGUUUGUUUUCCAACGAGGGUUUAGUUGUGGGCUUCCUAGAGAUGCAUUCUAGCGAUGCCUAGUGCGCGAACCUUGAUUUGUGGGCUGAAGAGGUGGUUUUAAGAAAGGGUACCCCUACUAAGGACAUGAUGGGCGACUAUAGGCUCUUCAAUCUGUCAUUUAAGAAUUUCAUUUCCUUUGGUAAUUGGUUGGGUUUACCAAUGGACUGUUUUGAAAAGGAAGUUGCAUCCCUAUUGANNNNNNNNNNNUGCGCGAACCUUGAUUUGUGGGCUGAAGAGGUGGUUUUAAGAAAGGGUAGCCCUAGUAAGGACAUGAUGGGCGACUAGAGGCUCUUCAAUCUGUCAUUUAGGAAUU